rnacentral:ncRNA from 1 species
AACCCCCUGAUUCUGCUUUCAACUUUGGCGGGCUGAGAAUCAGAUAUCAGGGGGGCAAAUACUGCCAUGCGGCAAUAAGGAUUAUAGCAAAUGCGUAAAUCUAAACAACCCCUU